GAUGAACGCUAGCUACAGGCUUAACACAUGCAAGUCGAGGGGAAACGACAUCGAAAGCUUGCUUUUGAUGGGCGUCGACCGGCGCACGGGUGAGUAACGCGUAUCCAACCUGCCCAUCACUUGGGGAUAACCUUGCGAAAGUAAGACUAAUACCCAAUGAUAUCUCUAGAAGACAUCUGAAAGAGAUUAAAGAUUUAUCGGUGAUGGAUGGGGAUGCGUCUGAUUAGCUUGUUGGCGGGGUAACGGCCCACCAAGGCAACGAUCAGUAGGGGUUCUGAGAGGAAGGUCCCCCACAUUGGAACUGAGACACGGUCCAAACUCCUACGGGAGGCAGCAGUGAGGAAUAUUAGUCAAUGGGCGAGAGCCUGAACCAGCCAAGUAGCGUGCAGGAAGACGGCCCUAUGGGUUGUAAACUGCUUUUAUAAGGGAAUAAAGUGAGAGUCGUGACUCUUUUUGUAUGUACCUUAUGAAUAAGGACCGGCUAAUUCCGUG
rnacentral:rRNA from 1 species